rnacentral:misc_RNA from 1 species
AACCUAGCACACCUGCGGUGUGUACCUGCGGAGGGAUCAUUAACCUUUCAAAUCAGGGUGCGGCGCGGCCCCCGAGGAGCGGAAACAAUCCUUGGGAGGUAUGCGGGGGCUUCGAGCCCCCCAUUUACGCACGCACGACUGCCAUCCUUACUUUACGAGCACCUUCUGUUCUCCCUCGGCGGGGCAACCUGCCGUUGGAACCGGAUAAACUCUUUUUGCAUCUAGCAUUACCUGUUCCGA